UACAGAGGUCUCAAGCGUUGUUCGGAUUCAUUGGGCGUAAAGAGCGUGUAGGCGGCCAGACAAGUCAUGCUGGUGAAAACUCGAGGCUCAACCGUCGAAGCUGUCGGUGGAAACUGUCUGGCUAGAGUCCGGAAGAGGAGAGUGGAAUUCCGUGGUAGUGAGCGGUGAAAUGCGCAGAGUAUCGGGAACGAAGCACCCGUGGGCGAAGGCGCACGUCUGGGACGGUGACGUGACGCUGAAGGAGCGGAAAGCGUAGG
rnacentral:rRNA from 1 species